rnacentral:rRNA from 1 species
CCAUUGGCGCAGCCUACACAUGCAGUCGAGCGGUAGCACAGAGAGCUUGCUCUCGGGUGACGAGCGGCGGACGGGUGAGUAAUGUCUGGGAAACUGCCUGAUGGAGGGGGAUAACUACUGGAAACGGUAGCUAAUACCGCAUAACGUCGCAAGACCAAAGUGGGGGACCUUCGGGCCUCAUGCCAUCAGAUGUGCCCAGAUGGGAUUAGCUAGUAGGUGGGGUAACGGCUCACCUAGGCGACGAUCCCUAGCUGGUCUGAGAGGAUGACCAGCCACACUGGAACUGAGACACGGUCCAGACUCCUACGGGAGGCAGCAGUGGGGAAUAUUGCACAAUGGGCGCAAGCCUGAUGCAGCCAUGCCGCGUGUGUGAAGAAGGCCUUCGGGUUGUAAAGCACUUUCAGCGGGGAGGAAGGCGAUAAGGUUAAUAACCUUGUCGAUUGACGUUACCCGCAGAAGAAGCACCGGCUAACUCCGUGCCAGCAGCCGCGGUAAUACGGAGGGUGCAAGCGUUAAUCGGAAUUACUGGGCGUAAAGCGCACGCAGGCGGUCUGUCAAGUCGGAUGUGAAAUCCCCGGGCUCAACCUGGGAACUGCAUUCGAAACUGGCAGGCUAGAGUCUUGUAGAGGGGGGUAGAAUUCCAGGUGUAGCGGUGAAAUGCGUAGAGAUCUGGAGGAAUACCGGUGGCGAAGGCGGCCCCCUGGACAAAGACUGACGCUCAGGUGCGAAAGCGUGGGGAGCAAACAGGAUUAGAUACCCUGGUAGUCCACGCCGUAAACGAUGUCGAUUUGGAGGUUGUGCCCUUGAGGCGUGGCUUCCGGAGCUAACGCGUUAAAUCGACCGCCUGGGGAGUACGGCCGCAAGGUUAAAACUCAAAUGAAUUGACGGGGGCCCGCACAAGCGGUGGAGCAUGUGGUUUAAUUCGAUGCAACGCGAAGAACCUUACCUGGUCUUGACAUCCACAGAACUUAGCAGAGAUGCUUUGGUGCCUUCGGGAACUGUGAGACAGGUGCUGCAUGGCUGUCGUCAGCUCGUGUUGUGAAAUGUUGGGUUAAGUCCCGCAACGAGCGCAACCCUUAUCCUUUGUUGCCAGCGGUUCGGCCGGGAACUCAAAGGAGACUGCCAGUGAUAAACUGGAGGAAGGUGGGGAUGACGUCAAGUCAUCAUGGCCCUUACGACCAGGGCUACACACGUGCUACAAUGGCAUAUACAAAGAGAAGCGACCUCGCGAGAGCAAGCGGACCUCAUAAAGUAUGUCGUAGUCCGGAUUGGAGUCUGCAACUCGACUCCAUGAAGUCGGAAUCGCUAGUAAUCGUAGAUCAGAAUGCUACGGUGAAUACGUUCCCGGGCCUUGUACACACCGCCCGUCACACCAUGGGAGUGGGUUGCAAAAGAAGUAGGUAGCUUAACCUUCGGGAGGGCGCUUACCACUUGGAUCGGGG